AAGGAUAUGAUUGGGGAUAUAGCUCAGCUGGGAGAGCGCCUGCCUUGCACGCAGGAGGUCAGCGGUUCGAUCCCGC
rnacentral:tRNA from 1 species